rnacentral:rRNA from 1 species
CAUGCGACACUGUUAAAUUGCGGGGAUCCCCUGAAGCUUUGUCCUACCAAGUGCUUGUGCGCGAAAGCGCCAGCAUGGCCGAGCCAAUCGCCCUGGGUAUGGUA